rnacentral:misc_RNA from 1 species
CAGAGUUCAUGCCCUCCCGGGUAGAUCUCCCACCCUUGAAUACUUAUACCUUUGUUGCUUUGGCGGGCCGCCUCGGCUACCGGCUCUGGCUGGUAAGUGCCCGCCAAAGGACCCCAAAACUCUGAAUAUCAGUGUCGUCUGAGUACUAUAUAAUAGUUA